GUCAGUUAAGAAAAAAAUCUUAUUUCCAAUGACAGCCUAGGAAGAGUGGGUUAAGUGCCUGUUCAGGGGCCAAACGACAGAUUUGUACCUUGUCAGCUCGGGGAUUUGAACUUGCAACCUUUCAGGUUACUAGUCCAAUAGUUUAACCACUAAGCUACCCUGCCGCCCCAACAUGACAGCCAACAUGACUAAUAAUACUGAAUAACUGGGUGAGUUCAAAGGUCGAAAUCAGAGUUUAUUAUACAACCUUUGAUCUAUUGUGUGUCAGUACAGGUGUGUGUAUCACCCAGACUAUAAUAUCAGCUGAGAAACACACUGGAAGAACACUUCACAGAGACAUCAUGUUCAGGUAAGAACCUCUUCCUGUACUUUCAGAGGAAAACCACUGCCAUAUAGUACAGAACACAGUGAAUCAGUUGUCAGUUAAUCAGGUUAAUAAUCAUCAUCAAUAGUCAAUAAUCAUCAUGUCUCUCUUCCUCUCAGAAUUUCUGUGUUGAUCUGCAUCUCUCUACUGGUUUAUGGCAACUCAGCCAAGCCAUACAAGUCCUGGGAUAAAGUGGCUGAGUCUGCAGUCCAGGAGACUCUGAUGUCUGAAAAGGAGGUGAUGUUUGAUCUGGGGCUGAAGCAGGUGGAGGCUCCCAAAGACAUGGACAUCACUAACAAUGGCAUCCACCCUGUCAUGCCCAUCUGGAAGAACAUGAGAGGGGGGGGUGGGAAGAGAAAGAAGGUAGAAAAAGAGGUAGUCCAAGGCAGAUACUCCACAACCGAGGAGGACAUGGACCAUCUAUACCACUCAUCCAUGGAGCAGCCCCAUGAUGCUGACCUGGCCAGAGCCCGAUCUCAGUCAGAGGACACCUUCGUUGGGAUGGCCAUCCAGACAGAGCCCCUAGAGGAGGAUAACACCAAGUACUACCAGGAGGCUGGGAUAGAUCUAGAUAACAUCUCUCAUCUCUUCUCAAGCCAGGUGGAUCCACGGCACCCUGAACAGGACUGGGACGAACUCUACCAUCCAGAGAUGAAGAGGGGAGACGGGCUGUACCAAGUGGACGUGCCUCACCAGGGGGAGCGCUCUGCUGUAGGGGCAGAGGUCAAGGGUCAUAGUGAGCCAGAGGAAGACAGGGAUGACCUCUACCAUGGUGACCGGCCUGUACCUGUUCAGGUGAAUGGGAGUGGCCAGGACAGGCAGCAGUCUGCCGAUCGGCCCUCUCAGAGGAUGUACAGAGAACCAGAGGAGGACCUGGAUUACCUCCAUCAUCAUUAA
rnacentral:lncRNA from 1 species